GUCUUUUUGAAUUUUAUAAAAAGUCUGGUCUGCCCACUGAUUUUUUUAAAUGGCCGCAGUAUUUUAACUGUGCAAAGGUAGCAUAAUCAUUAGUCUUUUAAUUGGGGACUGGAAUGAAUGGCUGGACGUGAUAAAGGCUGUUUCAUAAAAAUAAUAUAGAAUUUUAUUUUUUAGUUAAAAAGCUAAAAUAGUUUUAAAAGACGAGAAGACCCUAUAGAUCUUUAUAUAAAUUUUAUUAUUGUUAUUUAGUUAUUUUAGAAAUUAAUAGAUUAUAUAUUUUAUUGGGGUGAUAUUGAAAUUUAUAAAACUUUUAAUUAUUUAAGUUAAAAUCAUAAAUUAAUGAGUUUUUGAUCCUUUUUUAUUGAUUAAAAAUUUAAGUUACCUUAGGGAUAACAGCGUAAUUAUUUUGGAGAGUUCAAAUCGAUAAAAUAGAUUGCGACCUCGAUGUUGGAUUAAGAUUAAUUUUGGGCGCAGCUGUUCAAAAAAUUAAGUCUGUUCGACUUUUAAUUUCUU
rnacentral:rRNA from 1 species